GAUAGAGGCGCGGUGUUUAUCAGUACCGCGCGGCCACAGUCCCGGGAGGACUGCCGCGCAGGGAAAGGGAACGCUGCCGAAGGGGACGGGCUGCCCGGAGCGGGUUCCCUGGGCCGUACGGAGAAGAUCCUGCGGACUGUCACAACUGUGGAGCGCUAUCAU
rnacentral:ncRNA from 1 species